UUAGUUGCUUCGGCGGGCCGGCCGUCCUGACCAACUGGUCUCGCUGGCCGCCGGUCGUGGGUUUCCACGAUUGGAGAGCUCGCCCGCCGAUGGCCCAACACAAAACUCUGGUACGAAACACUGUCGUCUAAAUACCUUGAUAUUAAUCAAAAACAAAACUUUCAACAACGGAUCUCUUGGUUCUGGCAUCGAUGAAGAACGCAGCGAAAUGCGAUAAGUAAUGCGAAUUGCAGAAUUUCCGUGAGUCAUCGAAUCUUUGAACGCACAUUGCGCCCACUGGUAUUCCGGUGGGCAUGCCUGUUCGAGCGUCAU
rnacentral:rRNA from 1 species